rnacentral:rRNA from 1 species
AAAUUGAAGAGUUUGAUCAUGGCUCAGAUUGAACGCUGGCGGCAGGCCUAACACAUGCAAGUCGAGCGGUAGCACAGAGAGCUUGCUCUCGGGUGACGAGCGGCGGACGGGUGAGUAAUGUCUGGGAAACUGCCUGAUGGAGGGGGAUAACUACUGGAAACGGUAGCUAAUACCGCAUAACGUCGCAAGACCAAAGUGGGGACCUUCGGGCCUCAUGCCAUCAGAUGUGCCCAGAUGGGAUUAGCUAGUAGGUGGGGUAACGGCUCACCUAGGCGACGAUCCCUAGCUGGUCUGAGAGGAUGACCAGCCACACUGGAACUGAGACACGGUCCAGACUCCUACGGGAGGCAGCAGUGGGAAUAUUGCACAAUGGGCGCAAGCCUGAUGCAGCCAUGCCGCGUGUGUGAAGAAGGCCUUCGGGUUGUAAAGCACUUUCAGCGGGGAGGAAGGCGAUAAGGUUAAUAACCUUGUCGAUUGACGUUACCCGCAGAAGAAGCACCGGCUAACUCCGUGCCAGCAGCCGCGGUAAUACGGAGGGUGCAAGCGUUAAUCGGAAUUACUGGGCGUAAAGCGCACGCAGGCGGUCUGUCAAGUCGGAUGUGAAAUCCCGGGCUUAACCCGGGAACUGCAUUCGAAACUGGCAGGCUAGAGUCUUGUAGAGGGGGUAGAAUUCCGUGUAGCGGUGAAAUGCGUAGAGAUCUGAGGAAUACCGGUGGCGAAGGCGGCCCCCGACAAAGACUGACGCUCAGGUGCGAAAGCGUGGGGAGCAAACAGGAUUAGAUACCCCGGUAGUCCACGCCGUAAACGAUGUCGAUUUGGAGGUUGUGCCCUUGAGGCGUGGCUUCCGGAGCUAACGCGUUAAAUCGACCGCCCGGGAGUACGGCCGCAAGGUUAAAACUCAAAUGAAUUGACGGGGCCCGCACAAGCGGUGGAGCAUGUGGUUUAAUUGAUGCAACGCGAAGAACCUACCCGGUCUUGACAUCCACAGAACUUUCCAGAGAUGGAUUGGUGCCUUCGGGAACUGUGAGACAGGUGCUGCAUGGCUGUCGUCAGCUCGUGUUGUGAAAUGUUGGGUUAAGUCCCGCAACGAGCGCAACCCUUAUCCUUUGUUGCCAGCGGUUAGCCGGGAACUCAAAGGAGACUGCCAGUGAUAAACUGGAGGAAGGUGGGGAUGACGUCAUCAUCACCUGACCCGUGGCUACACGUGCUACAAUGGCAUAUACAAAGAGAAGCGACCUCGCGAGAGCAAGCGGACCUCAUAAAGUAUGUCGUAGUCCGGAUUGAGUCUGCAACUCGACUCCAUGAAGUCGGAAUCGCUAGUAAUCGUAGAUCAGAAUGCUACGGUGAAUACGUUCCCGGGCCUUGUACACACCGCCCGUCACACCAUGGGAGUGGGUUGCAAAGAAGUAGGUAGCUUAACCUUCGGGAGGGCGCUUACCACUUUGUGAUUCAUGACUGGGGUGAAGUCGUAACAAGGUAACCGUAGGGGAACCUGCGGUUGAUCACCUCCUUA